CUUUGGGGACUGCAGGAGAGGCAUUUAAGGUGUAGAAGACAACUCCGACCCCACACUGAUCACGGAUGUUCUGCUUUUAAAGAUGAGUGAGCCAGCCAAGCUGUAAGGCUAAUCACUCUGGAUGAACAUCUUGAGAAAAGGCUGCCACUUCAGGAGUCACAUUCUGUAAAAAAUGAAGAAGAUAUAACACAAGAAAGAUCCAUCUUACAAAAUGAAGUCUCUCGAUAAUUUAGAAUUGGUUUAUUUCUGUUUUCUAUCCUCUGAUGUCAAGCAAUAUACUGCCUUCCUGUCCUCAUUUCAAAGGAUAUCCCGUCUCGCUGCAGAAACAAAACAUGGAAAUGAAUCAGUCGAUAAAGGAUUUUCUCCUAUUAACGAUGUUGGCGAUUUUGUCCCAUGGAGGGGAAGUGGACCAUUAAGAUGAAUGUUCAAAAUCUAUAGAGAUCGCAGUUACUCCCCCACCCCCUGCAGCUGGAUGCAAACUUUUGUGUGUGUGAUAAAGAAUGUCAAGCUAAAGUUAAAUGCAUUUUAUCUAAGUAUGGUAAUAAAUC
ensembl:lncRNA